rnacentral:rRNA from 1 species
UACGGAGGGCGCGAGCGUUAAUCGGAAUUACUGGGCGUAAAGCGCGCGUAGGCUGUUAUGUAAGUUGGGGGUGAAAUCCCACGGCUCAACCGUGGAACAGCCCUUGAUACUGCGCGACUUGAAUCCGGGAGAGGGUGGCGGAAUUCCAGGUGUAGGAGUGAAAUCCGUAGAUAUCUGGAGGAACAUCAGUGGCGAAGGCGGCCACCUGGACCGGUAUUGACGCUGAGGCGCGAAAGCGUGGGGAGCAAACAGG